rnacentral:rRNA from 1 species
GACAGAGGGUGCAAACGUUGUUCGGAAUUACUGGGCGUAAAGCGCGUGUAGGCAGCUUGGCAAGUCGGGUGUGAAAGCCCUGGGCUCAACCUAGGAAGUGCACUCGAAACUGCUUCGCUUGAGUAUCGGAGAGGAAAGCGGAAUUCUCGGUGUAGAGGUGAAAUGCGUAGAUAUCGAGAGGAACACCUGCGGCGAAGGCGGGUUGCUGGGCUGACACUGACGCUGAGGCGCGAAAGCUAGGGGAGCGAACGGG